UUGGUUAAGUUAGAAAGGGCGCACGGUGGAUGCCUUGGCACUAGGAGCCGAAGAAGGACGGGACUAACACCGAUAUGCUUUGGGGAGCUGUACGUAAGCGUUGAUCCAGAGAUUUCCGAAUGGGGGAACCCACUAUCUUUAGUCGGAUAGUAUCCUUACGUGAAUACAUAGCGUGAGGAAGGCAGACCCAGGGAACUGAAACAUCUAAGUACCUGGAGGAAGAGAAAGAAAAAUCGAUUUCCUGAGUAGCGGCGAGCGAAACGGAAAGAGCCCAAACCAAGAAGCUUGCUUCUUGGGGUUGUAGGACACUCUAUACGGAGUUACAAAAGAAAGUUAUAAAUGAAGCGGUCUGGAAAGGCCCGCCAAAGACGGUAACAGCCCGGUAGUUGAAAUGGCUUUCCCUCCAGAGUGGAUCCUGAGUACGGCGGAACACGUGAAAUUCCGUCGGAAUCCGGGAGGACCAUCUCCCAAGGCUAAAUACUCCCUAGUGACCGAUAGUGAACCAGUACCGUGAGGGAAAGGUGAAAAGCACCCCGGAAGGGGAGUGAAACAGUUCCUGAAACCGUGUGCCUACAAGUAGUUAGAGCCCGUUAAUGGGUGAUAGCGUGCCUUUUGUAGAAUGAACCGGCGAGUUACGAUUUGUUGCAAGGUUAAGCGGAAAAAGCGGAGCCGUAGCGAAAGCGAGUCUGAAUAGGGCGCAUAAGUAACAGGUCGUAGACCCGAAACCAGGUGAUCUACCCAUGUCCAGGAUGAAGGUAAGGUAAUACUUACUGGAGGUCCGAACCCACGCACGUUGAAAAGUGCGGGGAUGAGGUGUGGGUAGCGGAGAAAUUCCAAUCGAACUUGGAGAUAGCUGGUUCUCUCCGAAAUAGCUUUAGGGCUAGCCUCGAGGUAAAGAGUCAUGGAGGUAGAGCACUGUUUGGACUAGGGGCCCUUCUCGGGUUACCGAAUUCAGAUAAACUCCGAAUGCCAUGUACUUAUACUCGGGAGUCAGACUGCGAGUGAUAAGAUCCGUAGUCGAAAGGGAAACAGCCCAGACCACCAGUUAAGGUCCCCAAAUAUAUGUUAAGUGGAAAAGGAUGUGGGGUUGCUUAGACAACCAGGAUGUUGGCUUAGAAGCAGCCACCAUUGAAAGAGUGCGUAAUAGCUCACUGGUCGAGUGACCCCGCGCCGAAAAUGUACCGGGGCUAAACAUAUUACCGAAACUGUGGAUGAACCUCUUUAGAGGUUCGUGGUAGGAGAGCGUUCUAAGGGCGGUGAAGUCAGACCGGAAGGACUGGUGGAGCGCUUAGAAGUGAGAAUGCCGGUAUGAGUAGCGAAAGAAGGGUGAGAAUCCCUUCCACCGAAUAUCUAAGGUUUCCUGAGGAAGGCUCGUCCGCUCAGGGUUAGUCGGGACCUAAGCCGAGGCCGAUAGGCGUAGGCGAUGGACAACAGGUAGAGAUUCCUGUACCAGUGCUAAUUGUUUAACCGAUGGGGUGACACAGAAGGAUAGGGAAUCGCACGAAUGGAAAUGUGCGUCCAAGCAGUGAGUGUGAGAAGUAGGCAAAUCCGCUUCUCGCGAAGCAUGAGCUGUGAUGGGGAAGGAAAUUAAGUACGGAAGUUCCUGAUUUCACGCUGUCAAGAAAAGCC
rnacentral:rRNA from 1 species